rnacentral:rRNA from 1 species
AGUGAACGCUGGCGGCAGGCCUAACACAUGCAAGUCGAACGGCAGCACAAGAAUACCUUGCUCUUACGGGUGGCGGGUGGCGGACGGGUUAUGAAUACAACGGAAUCCACUUUAUCGGGGGGGAUAACGUUGGGAAACUUACGCUAAUACUGCAUCCGACGCACGUGGGUAAUCAGAGGAUUUUCAGACCUCACGGGAAUCAUGCAUCCGAUGUCGGAUUUGCUAGUUUGCGGGGUAACGGCCCAACAAGGCGACGAGCGGUAGCUGGUCUGAAACGAGGAUCAGCCCCACUGGAACUGUGACGAGGUCCAGACUACUACGGGAGGGAGGAGAGCGGAAUGUUCGACAAUGGGCGCGAGCCUGAUCCAGCCAUGCCACGUGGGUGAAGAAGGCCUUCGGGUUGUAAAGCCCUUUUGUUGGGAAAGAAGAGCAGCAGGUUAAUCGCCCGCUGUUCUGACGGUACCCAAAGAAUAAGCACCGGCUAACUUCGUG